UACGUAGGGGGCAAGCGUUGUCCGGAAUCAUUGGGCGUAAAGAGCGUGUAGGCGGUCCGGUAAGUCGGCUGUGAAAGUCCAGGGCUCAACCCUCGGAUGCCGGUGGAUACUGUCGGGCUUGAGUACGGAAGAGGCGAGUGGAAUUCCUGGUGUAGCGGUGAAAUGCGCAGGAUAUAGGAGGAACACCGAUGGCGAAGGCAGGUCUCUGGGCCAUAACUGACGCUGAGAAGCGAAAGCAUGGGGAGCGAACAGG
rnacentral:rRNA from 1 species